rnacentral:rRNA from 1 species
CACCGGCGGCUCGAGUGGGGGCCACUUUUAUUGGGUCUAAAGCGUCCGUAGCCGGCUUGGCAAGUCCCCUGGGAAAUCUGGCGGCUUAACCGUCAGGCGUCCAGAGGAUACUGCCAGGCUUGGGACCGGGAGAGGUGAGAGGUACCUCAGGGGUAGGGGUGAAAUCGUGUGAUCCCUGAGGGACCACCAGUGGCGAAGGCGUCUCACUAGAACGGGUCCGACGGUCAGGGACGAAAGCUGGGGGCACGAACCGG